UUGAACGCUGGCGGCAGGCCUAACACAUGCAAGUCGAACGGUAACAGGAAGAAGCUUGCUUCUUUGCUGACGAGUGGCGGACGGGUGAGUAAUGUCUGGGAAACUGCCUGAUGGAGGGGGAUAACUACUGGAAACGGUAGCUAAUACCGCAUAACGUCGCAAGACCAAAGAGGGGGACCUUCGGGCCUCUUGCCAUCGGAUGUGCCCAGAUGGGAUUAGCUUGUUGGUGGGGUAACGGCUCACCAAGGCGACGAUCCCUAGCUGGUCUGAGAGGAUGACCAGCCACACUGGAACUGGGACACGGUCCAGACUCCUACGGGAGGCAGCAGUGGGGAAUAUUGCACAAUGGGCGCAAGCCUGAUGCAGCCAUGCCGCGUGUAUGAAGAAGGCCUUCGGGUUGUAAAGUACUUUCAGCGGGGAGGAAGGGAGUAAAGUUAAUACCUUUGCUCAUUGACGUUACCCGCAGAAGAAGCACCGGCUAACUCCGUGCCAGCAGCCGCGGUAAUACGGAGGGUGCAAGCGUUAAUCGGAAUUACUGGGCGUAAAGCGCACGCAGGCGGUUUGUUAAGUCAGAUGUGAAAUCCCCGGGCUCAACCUGGGAACUGCAUCUGAUACUGGCAAGCUUGAGUCUCGUAGAGGGGGGUAGAAUUCCAGGUGUAGCGGUGAAAUGCGUAGAGAUCUGGAGGAAUACCGGUGGCGAAGGCGGCCCCCUGGACGAAGACUGACGCUCAGGUGCGAAAGCGUGGGGAGCAAACAGGAUUAGAUACCCUGGUAGUCCACGCCGUAAACGAUGUCGACUUGGAGGUUGUGCCCUUGAGGCGUGGCUUCCGGAGCUAACGCGUUAAGUCGACCGCCUGGGGAGUACGGCCGCAAGGUUAAAACUCAAAUGAAUUGACGGGGGCCCGCACAAGCGGUGGAGCAUGUGGUUUAAUUCGAUGCAACGCGAAGAACCUUACCUGGUCUUGACAUCCACGGAAGUUUUCAGAGAUGAGAAUGUGCCUUCGGGAACCGUGAGACAGGUGCUGCAUGGCUGUCGUCAGCUCGUGUUGUGAAAUGUUGGGUUAAGUCCCGCAACGAGCGCAACCCUUAUCCUUUGUUGCCAGCGGUCCGGCCGGGAACUCAAAGGAGACUGCCAGUGAUAAACUGGAGGAAGGUGGGGAUGACGUCAAGUCAUCAUGGCCCUUACGACCAGGGCUACACACGUGCUACAAUGGCGCAUACAAAGAGAAGCGACCUCGCGAGAGCAAGCGGACCUCAUAAAGUGCGUCGUAGUCCGGAUUGGAGUCUGCAACUCGACUCCAUGAAGUCGGAAUCGCUAGUAAUCGUGGAUCAGAAUGCCACGGUGAAUACGUUCCCGGGCCUUGUACACACCGCCCGUCACACCAUGGGAGUGGGUUGCAAAAGAAGUAGGUAGCUUAACCUUCGGGAGGGCGCUUACCACUUUGUGAUUCAUGACUGGGGUG
rnacentral:rRNA from 1 species